rnacentral:tRNA from 1 species
GACGAGGUGGCCGAGUGGUUAAGGCGAUGGACUGCUAAUCCAUUGUGCUCAUCACGCGAUUCUGGGUUCGAAUCCCAUCCUUAAGG